CCGCCAGAGAACUACAAGUGAAAAACUUGAAACUCAAAGGACUUGACGGUGUCCCAUAUCGACCUAGAGGAGCCUGUCCUAUAAUCGAUACUCCACGUUCUACCUUACCCUAACUAGCACAUCAUCAGCCUAUAUACCGCCGUCGACAGCCUACCCUAUGAAGGUCUAACAGUAGACACAAUAACCCAACCGCUAGUACGUCAGGUCAAGGUGUAGCAAAUGCUAGGGAAGAGAUUGGCUACAUUUUUUAUAAUAAAAAACACGAAAAGUACUAUGAAACCGUAUAUGAAGGUGAAUUUAGUAGUAAAAUAGAUAAGAGUGUCUAUUUUAACAACGCUCUGGGACGCGUACACACCG
rnacentral:rRNA from 1 species